CGCCGAAACUGCUGCUAAUUUGCAACCAUGUUGAAAAGGGCAAAAUGAUAUGUCUAAUACGGCGCUACGAGCAUCCAUUAAUUUUGCAACUUCAACCCAUGUCUUGGAUUCAAAGUUCUUUUUUUGUUCCUCAUAGAUCCGAACCCCUCUGUCUAAACUGCAGACAGCUAGCACUUGACCAAAUGAAGGAUGAGCCCAAGCAACCCUCAUUAGACUAGCAUCUCCUGCCCUCCAUUCAGAAGUGAUUGCCCAUGUUUCAGUAUCAUCAUUAAAAUCGUAAACCUUGACUCGUUGAUCAGCUGAACAUGAUACCAUUCGACGGCCAUAAAAGUCUUGACAAUUAGCUACAAAAUCUAAAAUAAUAUUUCCUUACCGUAUGUAAC